rnacentral:rRNA from 1 species
UACGGAGGGUGCAAGCGUUAUCCGGAUUCACUGGGUUUAAAGGGUGCGUAGGUGGGCAGGUAAGUCAGUGGUGAAAUCUCCGGGCUUAACCCGGAAACUGCCAUUGAUACUAUCUGUCUUGAAUACCGUGGAGGUGAGCGGAAUAUGUCAUGUAGCGGUGAAAUGCUUAGAUAUGACAUAGAACACCAAUUGCGAAGGCAGCUCACUACACGAAUAUUGACGCUGAGGCACGAAAGCGUGGGGAUCAAACAGG